AUAUCGACCUUUGGUAGUAAUGCUGGAGGCACAGCAAACUGGCAUUUGUGUUUGAGGUUUCAAAGCCUCCCUUCUCCAUAGAGAUUGAGUUGCCCCCUGUCCUGCACAGUGAUGCAAGUCCAGAACAUUUUCCCAGCCAUAGCAACUCCACUCAGCUGGGAGAAGUGACUGGGACCAGUCCCAUAGCAAGAAACACCUGGCCUACCUGAGCCCACUUGAAAUCACACACGAAGUUUUCCUUAACAAAUUACGCCCAGGUUUCAGGAAGAAUCCCAAAAGUGAGGGAAAACUGGAAAAAAAAAUAGGAGUCCUUUUCCUUCACUCUUUGGCACCAUCUUGCUCUUCUGGUAUCAACAUCCUACUUCCGGAGCCUGACUUACUCCAACUCUCAAUGGGUAACAUGGCCCUGUCCACAGGGAACUUAAAAUCCAUUCAGGGAAGUUCAACCCUAUUAGGGGAAACUGUAUACUCGUUGUUCGUUCACUCAGUGUGUGUCUGCUGAAGACCUCCUGUGUUCCAGGCAUAGAGGAAAGUAUAGAUGAUGGAGAUGCCCUCUCUGCUGUCAAGAAGAUCAGCCUAGGAGGGGAAGCAAGCAAACGAGCAGAUGCAGGUCACCCAGCUGUUCAGAAGAUCUGGCCAAGGCCAUAUGGUCUAUUGAGGGACCAUCCCAUGAUGGAAUUCCAAGCCAACUCAGAUGAGCACUUUCAGGACAGCACUCCUGCGCUGAGUUCAUCUCUCCCACCUGUACAUGCUUCUAAGGUUCCAGGAGUCACCCUGUAUGAAAGCUGAGGAAGCUUCUGGUUGCACCAGCAGUAGGAGUUGGGAGUGACUGCAGAAGGAGCCUGAGAGAGGUGAAGAGCAACAGAUCCUUGGGCUUUCAGAGACGCCAUCUCCCUUCAUGCUCACAAAAUUCCCAUCUCAGAGAUGAAGACAAUGAACCUCCCUGAGAUUCGGAGACUUACCCAGAGUCACUUUGCUUCAAGAGCGAUGCGAUGCUGAUCGAAGGUUGGUCUUUCUUUUGUCCUCCAUCUUCUAUCCUGAUGGAGAUUUUUGACGCCCCCAACUCCAGCUCCUCUCUCUGGGGAAAGCCAGGCCCUUUGUCAUUACUGUCCCACCUGUUCAGGGUGCAGUGGUGAGCACCACAGUGGGAGCUCAGCACCUCUGAGUUUCUGCUCAACAGCUGUAUGGCUUUAAGAAAGUCACUCACAUUCUCGCUCAGAGUCGCUUCAUUGUAAAAUUGGAAUGGUGAUACCCAGAUUCAAAUCUUGAUUCUGUCACCUGCUGGCUUUGUUUCCUUGAACUUCAGUUUCCUUGUCUGUGAAAUAGGGUGAAAUCAUAUUGGGUGGGUGACAUUCACAAAGAUGUAUGAAAGUGUCCUGCCAAAAUCCCGGCACCUAGUUGACACUCGUUAACUGUGCAUUUUCCCCGUUUUAGGCAACCUGGCUUUCAGAGAACUCACCAGAACUUACAGGAAAUGUUUGGGCUAAGGAUGUCUCUGUUUUCACCUCCCUCUCAUUCUAUCCCUCCCCUAACCUCUCCACUCUGACUGUCUUUGUUUCUUAUCUCCAUUGUAGUCCUAAACUUGUUGAUCAGGCAGGGGAGAGAGAGCAAAGCCAUAAAGAGAAGUCUUAAGGUAGUUGGGCCCCUGUGAGGGAGGGGGGCAGGUCUCAUUCUAUUUGUACAGGUGCAUUGUAAUGCUGCCUGUGGUGUGAACAUUUUCCACUUCAUUACUCCUGGCCUGGGCCCAGGCCCUGGCUGCUCCCCUGGCCCCUGCCUUGGUUUAAUUUCAGCAGCUCCUGGCCUUUGGGAGGCAGCAGUCACAGAAAAGAAAACAAAUAAGGUCGCCAUAAACAAUUCUGCACAUUGCCCAACCUGGGCGGAUGGGUGCAUUCAUAGAGCAGGAACAGGGCCAGCUUGGCUGGGGCCGCAGGUACCCCCAUCAAAGCACCUCAGUCCCCAAGGGCUUCUGUCUGCUGAGCCCAAUCUUUCUAACUGAAGUUGACAUAGGUUUAAGGUAUAAACAUGGGUCAUGACAAAUACCCAAAGGCCCAGGAUUCUGUCAGUGAAGUCUGUAAGCAAUGGUUGAAAUGAAUACGUAACAGCUAACAUGUAUUGAGCACUUACUGUGUGCUGGAUGCUGUUCUAAGCACUUUAGAUGAAUUUUAGAGUGAGGUACAUCCUGUUAUUAUUCUAAUUUCGCAGAUGAAGAAACUGAGGCACGGAGUAUGCUUCAUAACUAGCAGAGCCAGAUUUUGUCCCUGGCAGUCUGACUUCAGAAUCUGCAUAUUUAAGUACUGUGCUAGGGUGUCUCCUGAUACGACACAUUCUAUGCACUUAUAUUUUGAUGAGGAGAAACGUUGAGGUAUGUUAUCAUACAGUUAUAGAAUGAUAUAACUUGGACCCAUUGACUCCCAGGAUUGGAUUAGACCAUAGGUGAUAAAACCUGAUAAUGUUGGGGUUCUCCCAGGAUUGGAUUAGACCAUAGGUGAUAAAACCUGAUAAUGUUGGGGUUCUCCAUAGACAUUGUCCACACUCCGCUUACAUACCUCCACCGAUGGGAAGCUCACUACUGUAUGAAGCAUCCCAUUCCAUUACGUGACUGUUUAACUCAAUGGCAGUGUUGAUGACUCUAUGUACAACAUGCAACUUUUUCCUAAUCACGUUGGUCAUCUAUAAAAGAGCUAGUUCAUGCAACUGUGCCUAGCAGAGUGCCUAGAACACUGUGGGCACUCAAUAAAUCUUUAUUCCUUUCUUCCUUGCUCCUUUAUCUUUCACAAAUUAAAAACAAAAGGAAAAAAUUCUUUACUCACUAUACUAUCAGGAAGGUAUAUUUACAAAAUAAUAUGAAACUCCUGCCUCAUACGAAAGGUAAGAGGUCUAGUAGGGAAGGAAGGUCCAAU